rnacentral:rRNA from 1 species
ACGAACGCUGGCGGCGUGCCUAAUACAUGCAAGUAGAACGCACAGUUUAUACCGUAGCUUGCUACACCAUAAACUGUGAGUUGCGAACGGGUGAGUAACGCGUAGGUAACCUGCCUGGUAGCGGGGGAUAACUAUUGGAAACGAUAGCUAAUACCGCAUAAUAUUAAUUAUUGCAUGAUAAUUGAUUGAAAGAUGCAAUUGCAUCACUACCAGAUGGACCUGCGUUGUAUUAGCUAGUAGGUGAGGUAACGGCUCACCUAGGCGACGAUACAUAGCCGACCUGAGAGGGUGAUCGGCCACACUGGGACUGAGACACGGCCCAGACUCCUACGGGAGGCAGCAGUAGGGAAUCUUCGGCAAUGGACGAAAGUCUGACCGAGCAACGCCGCGUGAGUGAAGAAGGUUUUCGGAUCGUAAAGCUCUGUUGUAAGAGAAGAACGGGUGUGAGAGUGGAAAGUUCACACUGUGACGGUAUCUUACCAGAAAGGGAUGGCUAACUACGU